AUUUACGUCAGUUCGUCGCUCAUCCUUCUGUUUUCAAUCUAUGCAGAAAAUGGCCAUUCACGUCCUAAAAGCACUUGAAUUUACUUCCAUGGUGCUCAUGCUUAUUCCGGCCUGGAAGAGCAGUUCAUCGAAACAUCAACGCCGGUAAGGAGUUUGCCGGUUCGGUGCGCCCGGAAUAAACAAAAAAAAUGUAAUUGUCAUCAAUCACAUCGAGAAUCAGUUUGUCACUUCCGAUGCGGGCACCAUCAUGAGACAGAUGUCGAACAUCCGGCGGCCAAACUGAUGAUCCAGGUUAGCCAGAUGCAGGAUGCCGAAAUGCGAGAUGUGUUCCACCUUCGUGGAGGUGUUUUGCGGGACGUUAUUGGAAGUCGCUUAAGAGCUGCUUCGAUUGGGAGUGACAACAAGCGAUAUUGCUGAAGGGUAUGAAAAAGCCCUGGAUCUGGCUUUGGAACCUCUGCGAAGUCUGGUUUGCCACAAAGUAAAGGAUUAUCAAAAUCAGGAAUAGGUUAAGAAUUGAUAACAAAGGCAUGUGCUUCGAUUCUGCCGGAAAAGCCCUCCUUCAAUGUGGAAAACAAGAUUUUGGGAAGUGGAUUGCACACGUCCGAGGUGGUUCAUGAAAUGGUGUUCAAGCGGUUCCUGGAAGGCGAGAUCACUUCGGCCAAGAAUGCUAAAAUCCCUAUGUUUUCCUGUCCGGUGGAUAUUAUUCAGACGGAAACCAAGGGAACUGUUCUGAUCAAGAGUGCUGAUGAGCUAAAGAACUUCAGCUAGGGAGAGGAAAAUCUAUUGGAAUCGCAAAUUAAGGCUAUCACUGCCUUGCCGGAGGAAAGUUGGCGGUGCGCUUGAAUUCCAAGUUUGCGUCGAUUUAGCAAGGCCGUUAAUGGAACUGUACUACCUUGUUUGACUCCAACAAGUUCCGAAGAGCUAUUGCGACAAUGUGUUCGUAAAUGAACUUGGAGAUACCUCAGUUUCUAUUUUCCGCUCGGAAGGAUCGGAUAGCAGAAUUGUUACCAUUGUCAUUCGUGGCUCCACAGACAACUACAUGGACGAUAUCGACCGUACCAUUGGCACGAGAGGAGCCGGCCAAGGGCCGAAAAUCUCGUUAAUAAAGAUAAAUAAUAAUAAUAGACCGUACCAUUAACGAUGGAGUCAACACUUUCAAGGGUCUUUUCUGUCAGGAGCUGGAGCUGUAGAAAUCGAACUAGCUCGUUUGUCGCAUGAGUACGCAUAAGAUUCCUGGCUGAAAAUCGAAUACAGUCAAAGCUCCAUGAGCCGAUAUUGAAGGGACCAUCGACUUAUGGAAAUAUCGAGAUGUAGAAGAGAAAAUCCUUGGAAAGCUCUCUUGAGGGACCAGCACAGAAACGAAUCCAUCAUGUAGAAGUUUGAAAACCAAGUGCAGCCGGAAGGGCCAAAUUUCGUCGCCGGCACCGUUUCAGAAUUCGGAACGGUGGCUCUGCAGGACAAGGACGUUUUCGACCGCAACCAGGCAUGAACCUCGAUAUGAGCUCCCGUCCAGUAUCUUCUUGGAAAAUUUACAACAAAUAGCGUAGCACUCGAAGAACCCGCUCAUAUGGUUCGCCAACUCAUGGUUAAUUUUGCAAAGCUCACUGAAGAACUUCCAGGAGCAGCGGGAUGAGGCUAUCAAGGGCCCUGCCUGACACGGUCAUUAUAAAGCCAACAAAUCUGCCAUGAUCACGUUACUGCUCGAGGUUACUCGUUAUCAGCAGGAGAAUUUAUUCGACAUGGAAUUUUUCAUUAGACGCAGAGGUAGAGGCCAUCACUGAAUAUGUGUGACUUGCAAGAUUUAUCUCGGAAUGCGAAGGAGCUGGCGAAAGUUAUUAGUUUGGCAGAAGUGUUACUUCAGGCGAUGGAUACCCGCGAUCCGAUUGGAACAUAGACUGAAUCCGAGUAUCUUACAAAACAACUCUCCGAAUAGGGUUUGAAAAUGAUUUCCUUGAACAGAUAGUCAAAAAAUCUGAAAAUUGGUUGUAGGGAGACCUGAUGAGGGUUUCCAAAGAAAAGUCGAGCGGGAAUGUCUACGUGACUGACGAAAUCGAAUUGAAGAAGGAUGGAAAACAGCAUGGAGAUUAAUCUGAAACGACGGCCAAACAUCGAAGCGCAUCGGAAGCAACUUCUACAAGACCCAUAACGUUAUGAAUUGAAAAAGGAACAAGAAUAUUGUAUUUCACAUAUAAGAGUUAAAUAAAAUAUAGCACAAUAAUAGCACGUGCCACUGGCGCUCUCUGAUUGUCCCACACUUUUUAACGGUCAUUCGCUUUUGGGGGCGAUCGCUUCUGUCAAAUGAGCUAAGACACAACUCCGCUGCAAUGUUAAUACACGUAGGUUGG